CGGAGGGAUCAAUUACCGAGUUUUACAACUCCCAAANCCCCCUGUGAACAUACCACUUUGUUGCCUCGCGGAUCAGCCCGCUCCCCGGUAAAACGGGACGGCCCGCCAGAGGACCCCUAAACUCUGUUUCUAUAUGUAACUUCUGAGUAAAACCAUAAAUAAAUCAAAACUUUCAACAACGGAUCUCUUGGUUCUGGCAUCGAUGAAGAACGCAGCAAAAUGCGAUAAGUAAUGUGAAUUGCAGAAUUCAGUGAAUCAUCGAAUCUUUGAACGCACAUUUGCGCCCGCCAGUAUUCUGGCGGGCAUGCCUGUUCGAGCGUCAUUUCAACCCUCAAGCACAGCUUGGUGUUGGGACUCGCGUUAAUUCGCGUUCCUCAAAUUGAUUGGCGGUCACGUCGAGCUUCCAUAGCGUAGUAGUAAAAACCCUCGUUACUGGUAAUCGUCGCGGCCACGCCGUUAAACCCCAACUUCUGAAUGUGACCUCGGAUCAGGUAGGGAUACCCG
rnacentral:rRNA from 1 species